rnacentral:lncRNA from 1 species
AUUUAAGAUUUCUUUAUUAAAAUUUUAAAAUUCAUUAUGUUUCCACUGUGCAUGCCCACUCUGAACCCUACACUGGGAACCCCUGGUGCAUUGUAUUAUCAGCUAUACAUUUUUUUUCUAUGUUUCCAACUGAUGAUUGAGAUUUUUUACAUGUUGAUGUAAAAUAAUUAAAAAAAUUAUUUGAGAAUAGAUAAAAAUUAUUUCUUUCUAUUUUUAAAUAAAGAUUAGGCAUUCAUAAA